CAAUUUAGAAGUUAAACUAAUUUUUAUUUUCUAAUAAUAAUGUUUGUUUUUUUUUUGUUUUUUUGUUUUAAUUUUAAAACCUUGGAAAAUUUCUGGCAACGGAAAAAGUGCCUUUUCCAAAAUGCUAAAGAAAAUUAAACUAAAUAUUCUUAAUAGCUAUAAGUAAUUUUCUAUAAAUUUUAAGGAUUUAUCACACCACAGUUUUCAAUUGGGAAAGCUCAUUGGGAUUUUAUUAUUUAAAACUGUAGUGUAAUAAGUUUUUAAAAUUUAUAGCAAAUUAUAUAUAGCUAUUAAGAAGAUUUAUUACAAUACAGGACAAAAAAAGAAAAUAAUUAUAAAAUCAAACUAGUUUAACUCCUGAAUUUAAUAUCAGUUACUAGAAAGUAAACAAAGAUUCAAAUUUUUAAUUUUCCAAUUGACAAUGUAUUAAUUUUUAGUGAUCAGUCAGUGAUCACAAAGUUCUAAACUAAUUAGAUGAAUAUUCUGAUGAUGAAUUCAGUGGAUGAUGGAUUAGAUGUAUUGUACAUCUAAAACAAUACAGCUUUCAUAAAGCACAGAUAAAGAAAUCUUAAUUCACUCUGUGACAUUAUGAAAGAAAAUGAUUCUUAUUUCUGCUUUACAAUGGUCUAAAAGCUACUUUUAAACGUUGUGUCUAUAACUUUCAAUUGUUGACACAGUAAUACCCAGAAGAACAUAGAAAAAAUUAAAAUUUGUACAGAGAAGAGAGGAGAGCAUAUAGAAACAGCACAUGUGAAUUUUUCAAGCAUUCUGUACAAAUGUGUAUGUAUGUGUAAUUGUUAAUAAAUGAAAAAAUUUGAGUAUAGACUUUCUGUAACUCAUGUUGAACACAUUUCAGAAAUAAUUUUGUUUUAUUUCAUUAAAAUUGAAUAAAUCUAAUAUUACAUUUACAGAAACUUUUAUGAAAUGAUGAUGAAGAAAUUAUGUUCCUUCAACAUACAAUAGAUGACUUAAGAAUCAAUCGGAGUUUUGAUGUAGUAUUUGUCAAGAAUGUACAUACUGAACAUACACUGUCAAGAAGAAUUUAAAGUUUACAAAUAUUAGUGAUAUAUAAAAAUAAUCUUGUAAACCUGAAAUUCCCCAACAGAAAUAAAAAGAUAAGUUAUAGUGUUAAAAUUUUAUAUUACUGUAUUUAUAAUCUAAAAUGUAUCUAAGAUUAUGAAAACACUAUAUACAAGUAUCUAUUAAAUUUAAAAAGUUUAAUAGUAAAGUAUGAAAGUUAAAUAUAUUGAAAGCACAUUUGAAGGUCACUUAUUAUUAAUGCGUGUAGUGGAAGAAUAUUGUUGGAUAAGAUAUUAGUUUUAAAUGUUUUUCCAAUUUAAUAUAGAACUUUUAAAGAUGAAAUUAAAUAGUUUAUAAAUAUUUUUGAACUUGAUAAAUUUUGACUUUUCAACAAAAACUGUCUUUGAAAUGAUAUAUAUUGAAUGAAUUGGUAAAUUUAAAAAGUGAAAUAUUUGUGAUUUUUUUUUAAGUUGAUAAUAAAUUUAAUUUAAAAUUUUUUCUUAUUUGUUAAAAGUUUAUUAACUUGACAUUAAAGUAACCAACCAACUUUAAAAGUUGCAUUAUAUUUUUUGUUAAAUGUGAAAUAGAUCUUUAUUUUUAAUAGUGCUUGAUCAAUAUAGAAAUUAUCUGAUAUAUGAUAUCCAAUUAAGAUGCCAUAUUUUAAAAAAUCCUUAGGUUUUUAAUACACAACUAAUAACAUAUAAAAAUAAAGAUAGUAAAGUAUACAUUUGUUUAAAAUCACAGAAAUCCAAAUUCCUUAAUCCUGAUGUAAUACUAUGAUUAAUUAAUAAAAAUAAAGUAGAAAUUUAUUAAAGUUGAACCAGAUAGGAUUCCCCCCCCACUAAUUAAUGCCAUGGGAUGAGCUAUUUUAGCAUGGUGCACUUCUUUAAACAGCAAUGAUUUGCACAUAUUUUUUCAUAGAUAUAUGUUUAUGAAAUGACAGUAAAACUUUUAACUAUUUAUAAACUCAGAAAAAAUUUUAAAUACUAUUUAUAUGUAAAUCUUCCAUGUGGGAUGAAUAAGUGAAAUUUUGUUUUAUUUCAUCUUGACAAGAAAUUCCAACAAUUAAAUAUU
rnacentral:misc_RNA from 1 species